GACGAACGCUGGCGGCGUGCUUAACACAUGCAAGUCGAACGGAAAGGCCCUGCUUUUGUGGGGUGCUCGAGUGGCGAACGUGUGUGUAACACGUGAGUAACCUGCCCUUGACUUUGGGAUAACUUCAGGAAACUGGGGCUAAUACCGGAUAGGAGCCCCUGCUGCGUGGUGGGGGUUGGAAAGUUUCGGCGGUUGGGGAUGGACUCGCGGCUUAUCCGUUUGUUGGGGGGGUAGUGGCUUACCAAGGCUUUGACGGGUAGCCGGCCUGAGAGGGUGACCGGCCACAUUGGGACUGGGAUACGGCCCAGACUCCUACGGGAGGAAGCAGUGGGGAAUAUGGAACAAUGGGCGGAAGCCGGAGGCAGAAAGGCCGCGGGCGGGAUGACGGCCUUCGGGUUGUAAACCGCUUUCGCCUGUGACGAAGCGUGAGUGACGGUAAUGGGUAAAGAAGCACCGGCUAACUACGUG
rnacentral:rRNA from 1 species